UUGAUCUGAAAGCUGCAUCCUUGCUCCAGUUCCUCUCCAUCUGCACUGCUGCCUCCCCCAGCACAGCCGCACCGCUUGGGGUGCAGAGGGAAAGGCUUUGGGGUUCCGCUGAGAGAACCCACCCCAAACACACCCCGAAGCAAGGUCUGCUCAGGCUGAGGGUGUCUGAUCCCCACCAAGAGCCUCCGGCAGCAUCUCCGGGCUGCUGCUGGAUUGCUGCAAACUGUGCGGAGGGAGCAGCAGGGGCUGAGAUGCGAGGGGAGGAAAGCAAGCUGAGUACAGGGAGGGAUGGUGGGGAGGGAAAGGCAGGGAUUCGGGGAGCUUUUCCCCAGCCCUAAGCCCUGUGCCUGCCUGCUCAGUGGGGAGAGGGAAGGGGGAAGGGAAAACUGGAGGGAGGCGAUCACAGAAACGCACUUUUCGGAGCAAAACGCAAAGCUUACCAUGUCUGCAGGCUUCCCCCAGCGAAAUGCCACUUAUGUGUCCAGCGAUCCCAAAGCGGGCAACUACAGGCAGGCACCGGAGCUCAUCUCAGCAGGCAGCUCAGCAACACACCACUGCCACCCCCAAAAAUCAAAAUCAAAAUAAAAAAGACCGGUCCAGCUUCUUUCUUGGCAAGAAUCGUCCCUGGUAGGACUGCCCAAAAUAAGCAGCUGCAAUCCAAAGGCUUUAUUUAAAGCUUCCCCCCUCCUCCUCCUCCUCUCCUUGCCUCGCUCUCUCUCUCCCUCUCUCUGUUACACACAGAGAGAAAGAGAGACACACACAGGUUACAUGAAUGGGAGGCAGGAGCCGGCGCUCCCGGGCUGGGAAUGACAGGCACACAUGCGGCCGGCUGCUGCGCACCGCGGGUGGCACGGGUCAGGAUAGGAGAGAAUACUUCUUGAUCCACUAUAUAUGACAAAAUGGCCACAAACAACUGUAAUACAAUACAUCUUCUGUACAACAGGCUGUCUGAACUGGAGACACCUCCUCUCCCCUUUAAGAACAAUCUCUGAGACGGCAAAAUAAAACCCUCCACUUCCCCUACACCUUCUAUUCAGGUAUCUUCUUUCCAUGUAUUGAACCAAUCAUUGACCUUUGAGAUGGCAAAGUGAGUUUACAGAGCAAAAAGAUGAUCUUGUGGCCAUGGCGCAGCAGGUCUGAGUGCGACUACCAUUUCUUAUGCACAUAUUCAUCAUUUAUUAAUCUUACAGGGCUCAGACCAUCCCAAUGAAUCUUCAGCAUACAGACUGCUUCACCCUGCAGCAGGUGCCCACAAAAAAAUGAAUCAGAUACCAGAUAAACCCAGCACUGAGGAAGACUCAAAGCAUCCAUGCUUAUCAACAACACUUCAGACAGGAUUUUGGGUUCAACCAAGGAUUCUCCCCUCUUUCCUGGGAGAAAUCUG
ensembl:lncRNA